GUCAGACCGCGCUGUCAACACCUCUUGCUUAUGGCAGAUGGAUGGCUCUGAACAGAAAUGUCAGGGACAUUGCUGCAAGGAACUGUCUGCUGUCUGUAAGAAGCUACACAGACCCAGAAAGGUAUAAUCUGAUGAUGAGCUGCUGGAGCAAAGAACCAACUAAGAGGCCAAACUUUCAGGACCUUGAGGAAGCCCUGAGUAAACUGAGAGAUUAUGAGGCGGAUAAAAGAGCAAACAAAGAGCAGCAGGUCAUGUGAACCAAGCCUACCAAGAAGAUGAAGAGGAGGUCUGCACUAGUGUGAAGAUGAAGAUGAAGACCUGGAAACUGGACUGUCUCCGGUGCUCAGCAAUGAGAGACUGAAUUACUUGAUGUAUCAUGCUGAGAGCCCGGAGAGUGUCCAGACAGACUCAUCGACACCCACCGAAGAUAG
ensembl:lncRNA